AUGGCUAUGUUUAUGAAGCCAGGGGAAGACAUUAAAGACAUUGAUAAAAGCAUAAAGAAUAAAUGGCGCUGGGCUUGGAUUGAGGAUGUGGGUAGCGACGGAAAGCCCUUUGGAAGCUGGUGUCAAAAACUCCGGCAACCAGGAGCAUGCUAUUGCACUGUGUGUGCCAGAAAACUAAUGUAUGGAACUAGCGGGAAAAAAGUACUGUCACGGCACGAAUUAGACCCUGUUCACAAAGCAACAGUCAGAGCACUGCAACACACCUCACGUUUGCCAGGGGCAACAGCCACGGCAGCUAUUCCACCCUCAAUGACCGAUCGUGUGACCGAUUUAAAAAUUCGCUUGUGCUCCUUCAUUGCUGAGCUUGACCUGUCAUUUAAUAUCGCCCACCCACUCGUCACUUUAUGUAAAAAAUUAGCGGAGGAUAGACCCGCCCUGGCGCAUCUGUCUGUCUCCAGGCAGCACGCAAGCUAUCUUCUUACACAUGGCAUCUCGCCAGAGUUUAAAAAACGUCUGUCUGAGAAGCUUAAGAAUGCCAUGUUUUCAGUCAACAUUGACGAGGCCACGGACAAAAGUAUGGAUAGAAUUCUUAAUGUACUGGUCCGAUUUUAUGACGAGGAUGCAGGCAGUGUGAAAACACAGCAUCUUGCCAGCAAAAAAGUCAAUAUUGCAAAUGCCUCAGCUUUGAUGCUGGAACUAAAUGACGUCCUGCACUCAUAUGGGCUAGAGUGGAGGCAGGUCACCAGUAUGCUACUAGACAAUUGCGCAGUGAUGAGGGGGAAGAAGUCGGGGCUUGAGACCCUAGCUAGAAAGGAGAACCCCAAUCUGUUGGACAUUUCGGGAGACACUGUCCAUAUGGUGUCAAAUGCGGCUAAGGCUCUCAUGAGCCCAUUUCAAUCAGAGGUGGAAGAUUUUUGCUCUGAUGUUUAUUAUGACAUAGAGAAGUCCCCCAAGCAGAAGGAGAUUUUUGCACAAUUUCAGAGUUUACUCCAUCUCACCCCCAAGAGCUUGAUAAGGCCCAUUAGUAACCGAUUCAUUCAGAUG
ensembl:lncRNA